UCAUUUACCUAGACGGGGUUAUUGGGUGAUCAAAAAUACUCAUGGCCUAGAUCAAUGGCUCACAUUGUACUUAGUGAGCAUGUUGAUCUACCAUCUCCCCUCGUGGGAGAGUGGACGUUGUAAUUUGUGCCAGAGAGGGUACGUGUUCGUGCGACCCCUGC